rnacentral:rRNA from 1 species
AGUGAACGCUGGCGGUAGGCCUAGCACAUGCAAGUCGAACGGCAGCACAGUAAGAGCUUGCUCUUACGGGUGGCGAGUGGCGGACGGGUGAGGAAUACAUCGGAAUCUACUUUUUCGUGGGGGAUAACGUAGGGAAACUUACGCUAAUACCGCAUACGACCUACGGGUGAAAGCAGGGGAUCUUCGGACCUUGCGCGAUUGAAUGAGCCGAUGUCGGAUUAGCUAGUUGGCGGGGUAAAGGCCCACCAAGGCGACGAUCCGUAGCUGGUCUGAGAGGAUGAUCAGCCACACUGGAACUGAGACACGGUCCAGACUCCUACGGGAGGCAGCAGUGGGGAAUAUUGGACAAUGGGCGCAAGCCUGAUCCAGCCAUGCCGCGUGGGUGAAGAAGGCCUUCGGGUUGUAAAGCCCUUUUGUUGGGAAAGAAAAGCAGCAGGUUAAUACCCCGCUGUUCUGACGGUACCCAAAGAAUAAGCACCGGCUAACUUCGUG